GUUUUAAUGGCUGGGUUUACAAGAGGUUUUAAUGGCUGGGUUUACAAGAGGUUUUAAUGGCUGGGUUUACAAGAGGUUUUAAUGGCUGGGUUUACAAGAGGUUUUAAUGGCUGGGUUUACAAGAGGUUUUAAUGGCUGGGUUUACAAGAGGUUUUAAUAGCUGGGUUCAAGAGAGGUUUUAAUAGCUGGGUUCAAGAGAGGUUUUAAUGGCUGGGUUUACAAGAGGUUUUAAUAGCUGGGUUUACAAGAGGUUUUAAUAGCUGGGUUUACAAGAGGUUUUAAUAGCUGGGUUCAAGAGAGGUUUUAAUAGCUGGGUUCAAGAGAGGUUUUAAUAGCUGGGUUCAAGAGAGGUUUUAAUAGCUGGGUUCAAGAGAGGUUUUAAUAGCUGGGUUUACAAGAGGUUUUAAUAGCUGGGUUCAAGAGAGGUUUUAAUAGCUGGGUUCAAGAGAGGUUUUAAUGGCUGGGUUUACAAGAGGUUUUAAUAGCUGGGUUCAAGAGAGGUUUUAAUAGCUGGGUUUACAAGAGGUUUUAAUAGCUGGGUUUACAAGAGGUUUUAAUAGCUGGGUUUACAAGAGGUUUUAAUAGCUGGGUUCAAGAGAGGUUUUAAUAGCUGGGUUUACAAGAGGUUUUAAUAGCUGGGUUCAAGAGAGGUUUUAAUAGCUGGGUUUACAAGAGGUUUUAAUAGCUGGGUUCAAGAGAGGUUUUAAUAGCUGGGUUUACAAGAGGUUUUAAUAGCUGGGUUCAAGAGAGGUUUUAAUAGCUGGGUUUACAAGAGGUUUUAAUAGCUGGGUUCAAGAGAGGUUUUAAUGGCUGGGUUUACAAGAGGUUUUAAUAGCUGGGUUCAAGAGAGGUUUUAAUAGCUGGGUUCAAGAGAGGUUUUAAUAGCUGGGUUCAAGAGAGGUUUUAAUAGCUGGGUUCAAGAGAGGUUUUAAUAGCUGGGUUCAAGAGAGGUUUUAAUAGCUGGGUUCAAGAGAGGUUUUAAUAGCUGGGUUCAAGAGAGGUUUUAAUAGCUGGGUUCAAGAGAGGUUUUAAUAGCUGGGUUCAAGAGAGGUUUUAAUAGCUGGGUUCAAGAGGUUUUAAUAGCUGGGUUCAAGAGAGGUUUUAAUAGCUGGGUUUACAAGAGGUUUUAA